GACGAACGCUGGCGGCGUGCUUAACACAUGCAAGUCGAACGGAAAGGCCCUGCUUUUGUGGGGUGCUCGAGUGGCGAACGGGUGAGUAGCACGUGAGUAACCUGCCCUUGACUUUGGGAUAACUUCAGGAAACUGGGGCUAAUACCGGAUAGGAGCUCCUGCUGCAUGGUGGGGGUUGGAAAGUUUCGGCGGUUGGGGAUGGACUCGCGGCUUAUCAGCUUGUUGGUGGGGUAGUGGCUUACCAAGGCUUUGACGGGUAGCCGGCCUGAGAGGGUGACCGGCCACAUUGGGACUGAGAUACGGCCCAGACUCCUACGGGAGGCAGCAGUGGGGAAUACUGCACAAUGGGCGGAAGCCUGAUGCAGCAACGCCGCGUGCGGGAUGACGGCCUUCGGGUUGUAAACCGCUUUCGCCUGUGACGAAGCGUGAGUGACGGUAAUGGGUAAAGAAGCACCGGCUAACUACGUG
rnacentral:rRNA from 1 species